AAGCACUGGCUCUGCCAUGGCAUCAAGAGGGUCCAGGCCGUUGUAGUACAGCAAGCCAUAGCACUGCCAGUGCUCCACAGCUCAUUUUUUAUUGUGUUGUGUAAUACCUAUCAGGAAAACAAGCUGUGAACCAAAGGACUCCAAAUGCAGCUCCACCAAAGUACAGUUCAAGGAACUAGCAAAGUAGACAUGAACUUUGUACUAAAGUACUCAGUAGACAGGUUGGCAUAGAGGAACACACAGAAAUAAAAGCUAAGCAAUACAGUAUCAGAGUAAGGUUCUCAGGCCUAUGCUGAAGCUGUGUGAAAGUGAUUGCACUGGGAAUCAGGUUUCACAGGGAAGACGGAAGGGCAGUGGCACAUUUCUGUCCUGGCACAUCUCUCAGUCUGAACUGAACUGGAAGCACUUCGCUGUAAGGAUGGACUCUGCCACCUUGAGAGAAUACUACAAACUGCAAAGCCAACAAUGAAAUGAUUCCUCUUCGCCGCCGGAUGCAGGAUAACCUUGUGUCAGUCUCCAAGAGCCAGGACCCGCAGCGGAGCUCUCGGCCCCACACUCCCACACGAAUGGGGCCGGACCAGGAAAGCGCUUGGCUUUGUCCUGAGCACGGUCAGCGCUCAUCAAAACAACCACACGAUGGUGGUGUCGGCUCACAAAAGGACACACACCGAGCCCAGCUCGAAACCACCCCCAGGACACAGCCAAGUCGGAAAUGUCCCUGCUCCCUAAUCAACUGUGUCACGACAAAAAGAUUUCCCCAGUCUUCCCCUUCCAAGUGCAAAGCCUUCUUUGCACCACAAUCCAAGAGCAACAUGAACUCCUUUACCUUAAUAAAGCUUUGCACUCUCCCAGA